rnacentral:misc_RNA from 1 species
AACUUUUGGCAACGGAUCUCUUGGUUCUGGCAUCGAUGAAGAACGCAGCGAAAUGCGAUAAGUAAUGCGAAUUGCAAAAUUCCAGUGAGUCAUCGAAUCUUUGAACGCACAUUGCGCCCUUUGGUAUUCCGAAGGGCAUGCCUGUUCGAGCGUCAUUAUCACCCCUCAAGCCCCGCGCUUGGUGUUGGACGGCCGGUUGAGCGAUCGACCCCUCCUAAAGACAAUGACGGCGGCCUGUGGUUCCCCCGGUACACUGAGCUUUUCAUCGAGCACGUAUCGGACAAGGGCACCCGGGACCCGGUCCUCUCCUUUAACUAGGAAACUUCUAAGGUUGACCUCGGAUCAGGUAGGAAUACGCGCUGAACUUAAGCAUAUCAAUAAGCGGAGGCU